GAUAGAACUGCAUAUGCUAAUGAAGAGGAACGUCCAGUCCAGAUGUCUGAUCGGCUCCAAAACUUGGCUUACAGUGCUCUUACAGAGAAAGAGUUUAAGCAAGAUACGUCGAAUUUUUGGGAGGAACCACGGAAGGCAUCUUUAUGGAAACAUUGUGGAGAUAGAAAAGAGCAGAAAAAUAAGGGCAACUGACAAAAACAAUUGGUACAUAAUGGUCAGUGCAUAUGGUGGUCUCAAUCAACAAAGAGUAGCUGUA